UUGAAAAUAUAUAUUAAGAUGAAUCCAACAAUAUAUUAUAUAAGAACAUUUGUUUUCAUAUACUAGAAAUAAAAUAGGGUCAAAGUGAAUUAUAUGAAUAGUGCAAAAAGUCAAAGCGGACCGAGUAUUAAGGGGCAAAAGAAGUAACUAUAUUAAUAAACUAACCACAAGCACCCCCAAGCCCAUAGCACAAUUUAGCCCAAUUAGUAGGCCCACUCCAACUCAAACAUAAAAGGUAAUCUAAAUAUUUAAACCACUAAUUUUAUCUCUAUUCUAUCAAUCUUGGAUAUUUCCCAACAACAAAAACUCACUAUAUAAUAAUGACUACUCUACCGCUCUACCAAGAACUUAUUAGAUUCAUCUCGAUGUAUAUUUUAACAAUAUCAAACUUCAUAAUUUGAACUACAUGCAAUUCAAGAUAUUAAUAUAUGUUAAAAAAUGUAUAUUGACAAACGUAAAAGUCAAAAUAUCGUUGACUGGUGUUAAUUACUUGACUUUUUAUGCUGGUGUUACUCGAAGAGAUAAAAUAUUAAUUUCAUGGCCGGUAAGGUUGGAGAAUUGAAUAGAAUACUGGUCCCUAGUUUAAAAAAUAAAAAUAAUAUAAAUAAACAAAAAAAAAAUCAAAAAACUCCAACUGAGUUUUAUCCCAAUCUCAUUCAGGCCAUACAAUUUUUAUCCCACGUUUUUGGGUUGCAAUAUUAAUUUUAGAUGCCAAAACAAUUUUGUCAUUGAAAGCAGUGAUUGGUAGCUAUUUCAUCGUACGUAUUAGUGAGUCACUCGUCUAUAAAAUGAACACAAUUUUUAUUGCAUCAACAUAACCAACCACCAAACGUUACAAAUAAUCUUGAAACUUUGAGUUACACUAAACAAUUCAAAGAGAAAUCAAGAGAUGGAAUCAGAUUUAUGCCCAUCUGGGAAACUUAGCUGGCCAGAGCUUGAAGGGAUGAAGGGAGAAGAAGCAGCAAAAAUCAUUAAGGAAGAAAACCCUCGUGUUGAUCCCAUUGUUUGGGAUAAAUCUUGGAUCCCACUCAACUACAACUGCUACCGUGUCUUUGUCAUUGUUGAUUCUGAUGGAAUUGUCAUUCGUCCUCCAAUGGCCGGUUAAGCAAGCAAAGUAAUGCGUACACAUAAAAUUGAAGUACGGAGUAAUGAAUAAAUAUGUGUAAUGACUAGCUAGUGCGAUUAUGUUAUGUUGAAAUAAAAUAAAAAGAGUAAUAACAUUUAUGUUUUUGCUCUGUAUAUGUUGAA